rnacentral:rRNA from 1 species
CAGGGAUUGCCUCAGUAACGGCGAGUGAAGCGGCAACAGCUCAAAUUUUAAAGCUGACGUCUUUGGCGUCCGCGUUGUAAUUUGGAGAGGCAUCUUCGGUUUGGGCGCCAGCCUAUGUUCCUUGGAACAGGACGUCACAGAGGGUGAGAAUCCCGUGCCUGGCUGGCUGUCCCUCUCCAUGUGAAGUGCCUUCGACGAGUCGAGUUGUUUGGGAAUGCAGCUCAAAAUGGGUGGUAAAUUUCAUCUAAAGCUAAAUAUUGGCGGGAGACCGAUAGCGCACAAGUAGAGUGAUCGAAAGAUGAAAAGCACUUUGAAAAUAGAGUUAAAAAGUACGUGAAAUUGUUGAAAGGGAAGCGCUUGAGACCAGACUCGGCCGGAGAUGAUCAGCCGUCCUUCUGGGCGGUGCACUCGUUUCCGGCCGGGCCAGCAUCGGUUGAGACGGCGGGAUAAAGGCCCGGGGAAUGUGGCUCCUUUCGGGGAGUGUUAUAGCCCCGGGCGCAAUGCCGCCAGCCUCGACCGAGGACCGCGCUUCAUUGCUAGGAUGCUGGCGUAAUGGUCUUCAGCGACCCGUCUUGAAACACGGACCAAGGAGUCUAACAUCUAUGCGAGUGUUUGGGUGUCAAACCCUUGCGCGUAAUGAAAGUGAACGGAGGUGGGAACCCCUCGCGGGGCGCACCAUCGACCGGUCCUGAUGUCUUCGGAUGGAUCUGAGUAGGAGCAUAGCUGUUGGGACCCGAAAGAUGGUGAACUAUGCCUGAAUAGGGUGAAGCCAGAGGAAACUCUGGUGGAGGCUCGCAGCGGUUCUGACGUGCAAAUCGAUCGUCAAAUUUGGGUAUAGGGGCGAAAGACUAAUCGAACC